rnacentral:lncRNA from 1 species
GAGUAUAAACCAAAAUAUGAAUUUGAACCAAAAUAUGGAUUCAUAUAUACAAAGUUCUAUGGUAGUCUCAAGUCAAAGGAUUAUAUGCACAACUCCCAUUAUAAGAAAAUAUCUUUUGAUGGAUAAGUAGAUUCCAUAAGAUAUUCUUAAGUUAGAUCAAUUUAGUGAACUUAUUCUCUAAUGAGCACUCAUUUUUUUAUAUUAGUAUCUCACACAAGUGGCUUAUGAGAUCAGCCACCCUCUCCAUUGAGCAUAC